rnacentral:rRNA from 1 species
GAUGAACGCUGGCGGCGUGCCUAAUACAUGCAAGUCGAGCGAACAGACGAGGAUCUUGCUCCUCUGACGUUAGCGGCGGACGGGUGAGUAACACGUGGAUAACCUACCUAUAAGACUGGGAUAACUUCGGGAAACCGGAUCUAAUACCGGAUAAUAGAUUGAACGGCAUGGUUCAAUAGUGAAAGACGGAUUUGCUGUCACUUAUAGAUGGAUCCGCGCCGCAUUAGCUAGUUGGUAAGGUAACGGCUUACCAAGGCUACGAUGCGUAGCCGACCUGAGAGGAUGAUCGGCCACACUGGAACUGAGACACGGUCCAGACUCCUACGGGAGGCAGCAGUAGGGAAUCUUCCGCAAUGGGCGAAAGCUUGACGGAGCAACGCCGCGUGAGUGAUGAAGGUCUUCGGAUCGUAAAACUCUUUUAUUAGGGAAGAACAAAUGUGUAAGUAACUAUGCACGUCUUGACGGUACCUAAUCAGAAAGCCACGGCUAACUACGUG